UGGAGGAGUCGACAGAGCAGGCACAGCGGUA
rnacentral:piRNA from 1 species